rnacentral:rRNA from 1 species
CACGUAGGGCGCGAGCGUUGUCCGGAAUUAUUGGGCGUAAAGAGCUCGUAGGCGGUCUGUCGCGUCGAAUGUGAAAAUCCGGGGGCUCAACCCCCGGACCUGCAUUCGAUACGGGCAGACUAGAGUUCGGUAGGGGGAGUCUGGAAUUCCUGGUGUAGCGGUGAAAUGCGCAGAUAUCAGGAGGAACACCGGUGGCGAAGGCGGGACUCUGGGCAUUAACUGACGCUGAGGAGCGAAAGCAUGGGGAGCGAACAGG